rnacentral:rRNA from 1 species
GACAGAGGCCUCGAGCGUUAGGCGGAAUCACUGGGCUUAAAGCGUGUGUAGGCGGACGCCUAAGUACCUUGUGAAAUCCCACGGCUCACCCGUGGAACCGCUGGGUAUACUGGGUGUCUUGGGCCAUUCAGGGGCAACUGGAACGAGCGGUGGAGCGGUGAAAUGCGUAGAUAUCGCUUGGAACGCCGACGGUGAAAACAGGUUGCUGGGAAUGUGCCGACGCUGAGACACGAAAGCCAGGGGAGCAAACGGG